rnacentral:rRNA from 1 species
GGUGGCAAGCAUUGUCCGGAUUUACUGGGCGUAAAGAGCGMGCAGGCGGUCGUUCAAGUCGCGUGUGAAAGCCCCCGGCUCAACUGGGGAGGGUCACGCGAUACUGAUCGACUCGAAGGCAGGAGAGGGAAGUGGAAUUCCCGGUGUAGUGGUGAAAUGMGUAGAUAUCGGGAGGAACACCAGUGGCGAAGGCGACUUCCUGGCCUGUUCUUGACGCUGAGGCGCGAAAGCUAGGGGAGCAAACGGGAUUAGAUACCCCGGUAGUCCUAGCCGUAAACGAUGGACACUAGGUGUUGGUGGUAUCAACCCCGCCAGUGCCGAAGCUAACGCAUUAAGUGCCCCGCCUGGGGAGUACGGCCGCAAGGCUA